AUCUUAUAAGUAUAUUAGUAUUUUUGAUUUCCAAUCAAAGGGUUUUUGUUUAAAAAUCAGAAAUAGGAUA
rnacentral:tRNA from 1 species